rnacentral:rRNA from 1 species
UUUCCUACGGGGCGCAGCAGUAGGGAAUCUUCCACAAUGGACGAAAGUCUGAUGGAGCAACGCCGCGUGAGUGAAGAAGGGUUUCGGCUCGUAAAGCUCUGUUGGUAGUGAAGAAAGAUAGAGGUAGUAACUGGCCUUUAUUUGACGGUAAUUACUUAGAAAGUCACGGCUAACUUCGUUCCCGCAGCCGCGGUAAUACGUAGGUGGGAAGCGUUGUCCGGAUUUAUUUGGCGUAAAACGAGUG